GACGAACGCUGGCGGCGUGCUUAACACAUGCAAGUCGAACGGAAAGGCCCCCACUUUGGUGGGGGUGCGAGUGUGGCGAACGGGUGAGUCACAUGUGGGUGAUCUGCCCUGUACUUCGGGAUACGUUUGGGAAUGUGGGUCUAAUACCGGAUAGGACCAUGUUUUAGUGUCUCAUGGAGGAAAAAUCGUUGUUUUGGUGCCUCAUGAGCUCGCGGCCUGUCAGUUUGUUGGUGGGGUACUGGCCUGCCAAGGCGUCGCCGGGUUGCCGGCCUGAGCGGGUGGCCGCCCACAUUGGGACGGGGAUACGGUCCAGACUCCUACGGGAGGCAGCAGUGAGGAAUAGUGCACGAGGGGCGCAAGCCUGAAGCAGCGACGCCGCGUGGGGGAGGACGGCCGUCGGGUAGUAAGCUCCUUUCGUUAGGGACGAAGCCACACCGUUUUUGGGUGUGAUGACGGUACCUUUGUGAAGAAGCACCGGCUAACUACGUG
rnacentral:rRNA from 1 species